rnacentral:rRNA from 1 species
GGAGCUGAAGUCAGUCGAAGAUACCAGCUGGCUGCAACUGUUUAUUAAAAACACAGCACUGUGCAAACACGAAAGUGGACGUAUACGGUGUGACGCCUGCCCGGUGCCGGAAGGUUAAUUGAUGGGGUCAGCGCAAGCGAAGCUCCUGAUCGAAGCCCCGGUAAACGGCGGCCGUAACUAUAACGGUCCUAAGGUAGCGAAAUUCCUUGUCGGGUAAGUUCCGACCUGCACGAAUGGCGUAAUGAUGGCCAGGCUGUCUCCACCCGAGACUCAGUGAAAUUGAACUCGCUGUGAAGAUGCAGUGUACCCGCGGCAAGACGGAAAGACCCCGUGAACCUUUACUAUAGCUUGACACUGAACAUUGAGCCUUGAUGUGUAGGAUAGGUGGGAGGCUUUGAAGUGUGGACGCCAGUCUGCAUGGAGCCGGCCUUGAAAUACCACCCUUUAAUGUUUGAUGUUCUAACGUGGACCCGUGAUCCGGGUUGCGGACAGUGUCUGGUGGGUAGUUUGACUGGGGCGGUCUCCUCCUAAAGAGUAACGGAGGAGCACGAAGGUUGGCUAAUCCUGGUCGGACAUCAGGAGGUUAGUGCAAUGGCAUAAGCCAGCUUGACUGCGAGCGUGACGGCGCGAGCAGGUGCGAAAGCAGGUCAUAGUGAUCCGGUGGUUCUGAAUGGAAGGGCCAUCGCUCAACGGAUAAAAGGUACUCCGGGGAUAACAGGCUGAUACCGCCCAAGAGUUCAUAUCGACGGCGGUGUUUGGCACCUCGAUGUCGGCUCAUCACAUCCUGGGGCUGAAGUAGGUCCCAAGGGUAUGGCUGUUCGCCAUUUAAAGUGGUACGCGAGCUGGGUUUAGAACGUCGUGAGACAGUUCGGUCCCUAUCUGCCGUGGGCGCUGGAGAACUGAGGGGGGCUGCUCCUAGUACGAGAGGACCGGAGUGGACGCAUCACUGGUGUUCGGGUUGUCAUGCCAAUGGCACUGCCCGGUAGCUAAAUGCGGAAGAGAUAAGUGCUGAAAGCAUCUAAGCACGAAACUUGCCCCGAGAUGAGUUCUCCCUGAGACUUUAGGUCUCCUGAAGGAACGUUGAAGACGACGACGUUGAUAGGCCGGGUGUGUAAGCGCAGCGAUGCGUUGAGCUAACCGGUACUAAUGAACCGUGAGGCUUAACCUUACA